GACGAACGCUGGCGGCGUGCUUAACACAUGCAAGUCGAACGAAGAGCGAUGGAAGCUUGCUUCUAUCAAUCUUAGUGGCGAACGGGUGAGUAACGCGUAAUCAACCUGCCCUUCAGAGGGGGACAACAGUUGGAAACGACUGCUAAUACCGCAUACGAUCUAAUCUCGGCAUCGAGGAUAGAUGAAAGGUGGCCUCUACAUGUAAGCUAUCACUGAAGGAGGGGAUUGCGUCUGAUUAGCUAGUUGGAGGGGUAACGGCCCACCAAGGCGAUGAUCAGUAGCCGGUCUGAGAGGAUGAACGGCCACAUUGGGAAUGAGACACGGCCCAGACUCCUACGGGAGGCAGCAGUGGGGGAUCUUCCGCAAUGGACGGAAGUCUGGAGGAGCAACGCCGCGUGGGUGAUGACGGCCUUCGGGUUGUAAAGCUCUGUUAAUCGGGACGGAAGGCCUUCUUGCGAACAGUUAGAAGGAUUGACGGUACCGGAAUAGAAAGCCACGGCUAACUACGUG
rnacentral:rRNA from 1 species